UUGAAAUUUUGAAAAAAAAAGGCAUUUUCUGUUCAAAAUAUAUUGUGAGGAAAUGAAGACCAAAUAAUUCAAAUAUUGGAGUUAUUUGCAGUCAAUGCAGAAGAAAUUGAGAAAAUUGUAUAUCAAUAUAAUACAGUUCACCUUGUCCAAUGGAAAAAUCAAGAGGAUACCGUAUCGUUUUGGACUGAGGUCAAUAAGCAUAUGGAUUCUGCGGGCAACAAUUUGAAAGUUUGUCUUUAUUUGCAAUAAAUUUACUCUCGUUGCCAUGGUCGAACGCCGAAGUCGAGCGGGUGUUUAGCCAAGUUAAUUUGGUCAAAACAACGCUAAGAAACAGGCUUCAUAUUGAUACAUUAAAUUCGAUUUUGACAGUUAGGCUCGGAUCACGUCGACGUGGCACAUGUUGCCAAAAUUAUCAACUUCCCGAUAAAUAUUUGAGUAUGAUCGGAACAAAUGAGACGGAUGUUGAUAACGAAACUUUUGACUCAGUUUUAUAUAAUUUAAAUGAAAAUAUAUAAAAAUUUAUUGAA